rnacentral:rRNA from 1 species
UACGUAGGGCGCAAGCGUUGUCCGGAAUUAUUGGGCGUAAAGAGCUCGUAGGCGGCUUGUCACGUCGAUUGUGAAAGCCCGAGGCUUAACCUCGGGUCUGCAGUCGAUACGGGCUAGCUAGAGUGUGGUAGGGGAGAUCGGAAUUCCUGGUGUAGCGGUGAAAUGCGCAGAUAUCAGGAGGAGCACCGGUGGCGAAGGCGGAUCUCUGGGCCAUUACUGACGCUGAGGAGCGAAAGCGUGGGGAGCGAACAGG